rnacentral:rRNA from 1 species
UAGGGAAUAUUGGUAAUGUGCGAAAGCGCGAACCAGCAACGCCGCGUGCACGAUGAAGGCCUUCGGGUUGUAAAGUGCUUUUAGAGAGGAUGAGGAAGGACAGUACUUUCUGAAUAAGCCUCGGCUAACUACGUGCCAGCAGCCGCGGUAAAACGUAGGAGGCAAGCGUUAUCCGGAUUUACUGGGCGUAAAGCGCAUGCAGGUGGUCUUGCAAGUUGGAUGUGAAAGCUCCUGGCUUAACUAGGAGAGGUCGUUCAAAACUGUGAGACUAGAGAGUGGUAGAGGGAGGUGGAAUUCCGGGUGUAGUGGUUAAAUGCGUAGAUAUCCGGAGGAACACCAGUGGCGAAAGCGGCCUCCUGGACCAUUCCUGACACUCAGACGCGAAAGCUAGGGUAGCAAACG